GAUGAACGCUGGCGGCGUGCCUAAUACAUGCAAGUCGAGCGAACAGACGAGGAGCUUGCUCCUCUGACGUUAGCGGCGGACGGGUGAGUAACACGUGGAUAACCUACCUAUAAGACUGGGAUAACUUCGGGAAACCGGAGCUAAUACCGGAUAAUAUAUUGAACCGCAUGGUUCAAUAGUGAAAGACGGUUUUGCUGUCACUUAUAGAUGGAUCCGCGCCGCAUUAGCUAGUUGGUAAGGUAACGGCUUACCAAGGCAACGAUGCGUAGCCGACCUGAGAGGGGGAUCGGCCACAGGGGAAGCAGGACACGGCCCAGACCCCAGAGGGAGGCAGGAGUAGGAGAUCUUCCGGAAUGGGCGAAAGCCUGACGGGGCAACGCCGCGUGAGUGAUGAAGGUCUUCGGAUCGUAAAACUCUGUUAUUAGGGAAGAAAAAAUGUGUAAGUAACUUUGCACGUCUUGACGGUACCUAAUCAGAAAGCCACGGCUAACUACGU
rnacentral:rRNA from 1 species